rnacentral:piRNA from 1 species
AACUUGGACAAUGAUAGAUUUAAA